rnacentral:rRNA from 1 species
UUAGGAAUAUUGGACAAUGGGGGCAACCCUGAUCCAGCCAUGCCGCGUGAGUGAAGACGGCCUUAGGGUUGUAAAGCUCUUUCAGGUGUGAGGAUAAUGACCGUAACACCAGAAGAAGCCCCGGCUAAAUUCGUGCCAGCAGCCGCGGUAAUACGAAUGGGGCGAGCGUUGUUCGGAAUCACUGGGCGUAAAGCGUACGUAGGCGGAUAUGAAAGUCAGAAGUGAAAGCCCGGGGCUUAACCCCGGAAUUGCUUUUGAAACUUCAUAUCUAGAGUUCUGGAGAGGCAAGGGGAAUUCCGAGUGUAGAGGUGAAAUUCGCAGAUAUUCGGAGGAACACCAGUGGCGUAGGCGCCUUGCUGGACAGAUACUGACGCUGAGGUACGAAAGCGUGGGGAGCAAACAGGAUUAGAUACCCGUGUAGUCC